GGAAGAGAUUUCCUCUCUGAAUGGAGCCACAUCUUUCAUUUUAGCUUUUGAAUGCCAUGGCUUGAGGACAUGAAGUUUGAAGGUCUGGAAGCCAUUUUGCAGUCGCCGGGGAAAGGCAAAGUUGCAGGGAACAGCACGGAUGCCAACUCAGAACCGAGCCAUGUCUCCAGGCCAGUCAUAUCAACUUUCAAAGACCUACCUGUUCUUCCACGGAAAAAAAAAUUCCAAAUGCCUCCAAAAAUGACAUGUUCACUACAACAGGAAAUGACGUUCUACUGAAUAACCACAGUGCUCACUAUAAUCAGUCUACAGUCAAGCACAUGCCUCUGGUCUGGAGAUGCCAUGGUCGCCCAUCACAUAAAGUUCCUGCUAAUAACUUCUUCUUCUGGAAGAACUCCCCUCAUUCAAAAAUCAAGGAAAAGCAGAAAGAAAAUGUACGCAAAGAUACUACAAGAAAAUGAAUCACAUAUGACUCUAAAGCUCAUCUCAAAGCAGACCCAAAAGAAGUCAUGGUCAGACAAAAGGAAGAGGUAAAAUAUAAACUGACACUAUUCACAAAAUAACUUGAAUAACAAAAUAAAUAAGAAUGGGGAUCACAUUGGAAGCAGUGAACUGGGAAAUUGAUAUUGCUGGAAACUCAGUAAAGAACUAGGAGGACAGAAUCCAAAAAACAACAUUGUCAGCAAAUACAUAAUGCUUAUAUGUGCCUGGAACUAUUGUAAGUAUUUUAUAUACAUUUUAUA
rnacentral:lncRNA from 1 species